GGGGUCGUAGUAUAGCCUGGCUAGUAUCCGAGGUUUGGGACUUCGUGACCCCGGUUCAAAUCCGGGCGACCCCA
rnacentral:tRNA from 3 species